rnacentral:rRNA from 1 species
GGAGGGUGCGAGCGUUGUUCGGAAUUAUUGGGCGUAAAGAGCGUGUAGGCGGUUUGGUAAGUCAGAUGUGAAAGCCCUGGGCUCAACCCAGGAAGUGCAUUUGAAACUACCAUGCUUGAGUAUGGGAGAGGAGAGUGGAAUUCCCAGUGUAGAGGUGAAAUUUGUAGAUAUUGGGAGGAACACCGGUGGCGAAGGCGACUCUCUGGACCAAUACUGACGUUGAGACGCGAAAGCGUGGGGAGCAAACAGGGAUUAGAUACCCUGGUAGUCCACGCCGUAAACGAUGAGAACUAGGUGUAGCGGGUAUUGACCCCCCUGCUGUGCCGGAGUUAACGCAUUAAGUUCUCCGCCUGGGGAGUACGGCCGCAAGGCUA